GGAGAACAGGCCGGAAGGCGCCCAACGGGCCGCAGGCUCCGCGGCCCCCACCUUAUAGCCAGCUUUUUCCAAGAGCCACAUGCGGUGGGUGGGGUAAUGGAAUUCCGAAUUCCGCAGGGCCGAGAGGGUCCAAAUCCCGUCUCAGAUGGGAGUGCUCGGCGGAGCGGGGCUGGGCGAGGAGCGCAGAGGAGUCAGAGGUGAGUGAUGCUGGCGUACACCGGGCGGUCAGCCACCGCGCCCCGGUCUCCGGACCCACUGGGAGCGCGGACCCCUAUUUGAGCAGAAAAAGAAAGGGCGGCGCAGUCUGGGGGGCUGGGGAGAAAUGGAGGGAGCAAAGGGCCAGUCAGUCACAUUUUCAUAUACGGGCCUCCGUCACCAAGUACACAGAUUCUCCCACUGGUACUAAAGAUGCCCCAUUCACCUUACAGUUAGAGGGCCCAUAUAGUAUCCACCAGAACCCUAGGGUACUAUUAGGACAAAUAGGAUAAUAACCGCAUUAUAGCAAAAGGACUCAGAUCCCAACCCCCCUGGGACACUGCGCCCUAGGCGGGCUCACGCCCUCCUCCCCCGCCCAUUUCGAAGACUUGGGUUUUCCUCUGGGAUCCAGUCUGGCGCCCCUUGGGACUUCCUCCCUUUGCCAGGCUGCCCCGGCUCAAGCUUCUCUGGCCUGAGCCAUCCCUCAGUCCUAGCCCCACCUGCCUCCUCUGGCUCCUCCUUCCCCUCCUCGAGUCGCUCCAAGCCAGAAGAGGACUCACUUCUGCUCCUGGCAGCCAGGGGACACACCUGGCUGCUGACCUCAGGACACCCUGGGCUGGUCCAAGGAGACGCACCUCCCGGGGACACAGAAUCCCACCCCCAGUAGCCCUGACCGUCCAGCUCCCGCGCCUCCCAGCCCUACCGCAUCCCGCGUCUGCAGGGCGGGGCCGGGCCGUUGGGUCGCCCCUCCUACUCUCCACUCCUUUUCUCCCUCGGAAACCACCGAGCACAAAGGCAGCAUUGAUUCUCCGCCACCCUCAGAGCGGUCUCCGGAAGGCUCCGCCACCACGCGCUCGCCUCACCCCUGCGCGGAGCCACCAAGAGCACCGUGUUCCGACCCUCUGCCCUGGGAUCCGAGCUAGCGACCCUCUCCGUCGCGCGCCCGGAGUGCUGGCCUCACCUGUGGGUCGCUUUUGGGUUCUGGCCUCAGGCCCUGAAACUUUCAGAGCCAGAGGGGAGCAGCUUUCUCUGCAGCUUGCUCCCCCAGCGCAGUCCUUAUGGGAGGAGCUGGCAGGGGCCUCCGCUGCCUACGUCCUACCUCUUUUCCUGGAUAAACACAGCUCUGUCUGCGCGGCCAUCAGCCCGGUCUUCUGACUUCCUCCAGCUGAAGCCAGGCUAGUCAAGUGAAGCAAUGGGAGUGGAGAUGGAACAAAGAAAUCUGCAAUUGGUUGUGAUCAAUUAGUUGUAAACACUACUGCACUUGGACCAACCUCUUCCUUUUCCUGACUGCUUAGGAAGGAUGGAAUGUAUUUCCUUCCUUCUGGGAGUGUUUGAAUGAAGAUUAGACUCUCCUUGACCAUGAAUGAAGAGCAACCAGUUUUUUAGUAUACAGUGAUUUAGACUCUGGGUCUAGAGUGUAGAUAUCAUGGGCACUGUGAAAGCACAGAAGGAGAAAAGGUUUUUAUUUUGGUGGGGCUUUGUGUCUGAAUUCUGGCCAAUGGAACCACGUGGAGGCCUGGCCCAGAACAUCUCCCUGUGGAUUCUCUCAUCUGGCAACUGGAUGCCUACACGAAGGGUGAUUUUGGAGUCAUGUGUUGGAGAUCACAAAGCUUUUGUCAGCCAGGUUCCUGAAUGACUGCUAGACACCAUGGGCUGAACUUUAUGAGCUCCAGCACCACCUCCAGCCUUCAGUGACUGUCUGGAGCAGGCAUCCGGAUGGAAGAGAAGGGGGACAACCAUGAACUUGGUGACCCACGGUCAGCCUGAUUUCCCUUGUGGACACAUUUAUGCCCAGUGUGCAUUCCUCCUGAGGUCUGUUCCAAGUCUGGAGGCAGCAGAGUAGAGUGGAGAGAACAGUGGACUUGGAAUCUCACCUCCCAGAUUAGAGUCCUGGAUCUGACUUUGAUUGCUGGUGCUGCCUCGGGCAAGUUACUUUAGCUGUGUGCAUCUCCAUUUCCCCAUGGAUAGAACAUGGGUUUUGGGUAGAAGUGUCUGAUAGCUGUACUGUGCUUUACGGUUCAUGAGCACGCACACAUAGGCCCAUAAUAUCAUAUCUCUGGUCACCCUGGCAGGUAGAUAUUAUUGCCCCAGGUUUCAGGUAAGAAGACUAAAGACCAGGGGUCAAUUGCUUGCUCAGAGUCCCACAGCCAGCAGCAGCCAGGCAGGACACCAAGUCAGAGUCUAGAUUCCGGAUCUUGCCCUCUUCCAAGUGUACCACAUUCUUCUCAAAGUGGCCUCUCAGGUCUUUUGUCCAGAAAAUUUUGAGACUUUGAUGAGAAGCCCAUAUCUGCACACUGGGGAUUAGGCCAGAUAACCCUGUGUGUCCUUCCAGGCCUGGUAUUGUGAGGCUGAAGCCUAGUGCCCCACACUCCCUUCCUCACCCCUUAGAGAAAGAUAGAGACUCCAGGGCCAGCCUGGUGGGUGCUGAACCUGCCCUGCUGAGCCAAGCCCAGGAGGCAGCCAAGGUCCUACCAGUGACCUUACCCUGGGGGCCCCUCCAGGUAGGAGCCUGGUUGGAAAAGACAGACCGACUUCUUCUGGGUUGGCUGGAAAAAGAUGACAUACUCAAAGCCUUGUCCUUCCACUUGGAUGCACCUGGUGAAGAUGCGACAGUCACCUUUGUCUGGGGAGAGAUAGGCAGUGUUGCAGCCGGAGAAGGGAGGGUAUGGUCAGGAUGCAGCACCAUUUGGUUGAGUCUUGCCUCUGGUACAAGAUUAAGGAGAGAAAACCAGAGGACACCAGGUCCACCCCCAGGGAGCCUUCCCUCUGGGAGCAGAGGCACAGUUGCUGUCCUCACAGAGCCUUUCUGUCUAGGGCAGAAACAUGCAGGAAGUGCCCUGGCUGAGAAUGGAGAUAGGAUCAGGGCCAGGGCAAGACUUUAAGAGACCAUAAGCAUUGAAAAUUGAAAAUGUAAUUACUCAUGUAACUCACAUAUAAUUCAAAAGAAUAAUAGUAAACAGUAAAAUAAGAGCAGAAAAGUCCAUCAAAGUUCUGAUUUUUUUUUUCCAAGACAGCUACCACUACUACAUCCUUUUUUGGAAGUAUCAAAUUCUUUGAAAAAAAAUUAUGUUGGUAUUCCUGCUUUGUUUGUGCCAUAAACCCAAGGGUAGUCUGUCCCCUGUACCACUCCUUCAUCACUAGGCAGGAAGACAACAUAUAUGAGUGAGAGAGACAGGGAGAUACACAUGCGUGCACACACGAGUGCACACACACACACAAGAAGGUGGAAGCUCUAUCAUUAGGAUCCAUUAGGAUCAUUAGGUGUUUCAGGAGUGCUGCUCCAGACCCCGCACAGCAGGGAUGAUGUGCAGGGCCUCAGUGGAAGGGGUGUGGGGUCCAAGGGCUUUCAUGGGGUUGGGGCGGAAGGCUUGGGAUGAGGCUUGAUAGUUAGGGAGGGGCAGUCAGUGAGAAGUCGGGGCAGGAGCUGGGCUGGCUGUCCUCCAGUGGGGACAUGCUUGGCUGGGAGCGAAGGUGGGCCCACCAGGGUGUGCUGCUUCAGAUGGGAGGAGGGGAGCUGGAGACCUGAGAGGACACCCGCCGCCUGUUGCCUGGGGCUGCAGCAUCAGGGGUGGAGUUGGACAGCAGGAAGAACUCGCUGAGAACUGGAAGGCGGUCUGUGAAGUUGCUUCUCAGUCUUAGAACACAGGGAAGGGCGGCUGGGGUGUGUGUACUCAUGGUCCUGUCCUUACCUGAGGAAACUGCCAGUCCAGAUGGGAGCUUGAGUCCCCGGAUGUGGUCUCUGUUGGACUUGAAGGAGGGCAGCUUGAUCCAGCCGCUAGACUUAGUCUUCUCCAGAAAUUCUUGGUACAGGCUCAGCAUGUCCGAACACCAGCUGGCAUUGGGAAGAGCAUAAUCCUUCAAGUCUGUCUUCUCUGGCAAGAAUCUUGAGAACUGGGCAGGAAAAAUCAGAAUGACUAGACAGCAUCCUGGAGGGGGGCUGCUGCCUGGGCUCGGGACCUCUAAACAGCUGUUCCUGGGUGCUGGGGCUUCUCAAUCCCUUCUGCCAGAGUAUCGAUCCAAGGGAAAGGGCCCAUAUUCCUUGCAGGGGGGCUGCGGACCCCUAUGGGUGACGGGGCAUAAGGAUGCUAAAGAGCAAGGGAAGGGCGGGCAGGGAGUGGGGCCAGAGAUGAUGGGCAUGCUGCUCGAUGUGGUGCCUUACCCUUGUUCUGCUUAAAACAUGUGAGCAGUUCUUUAAAGUUGACAACUGCUCAUAUUAGCCUCACUGUACAGAUGGGGAAACUGAGGGAAUACGGCCAAGGUUGCCAAGCAUGUGACUGUGAGAGCUGGUGGUCGCACUAGAUGCUGUCUCCUCUGCAGGGCAGGGUCACAGUUGUUGAGGACCAUUCUAGCAACCCCCACCUCAGGGGCUACUCCAGCUCUGCCCACUGCUGUGGGCCUGCCUGGGCAGGGUGGCUCCUUUGAAACACAUUUGGGCCCCCACAGAGGUGUGGUGCCAUGGCUGGGGCACAGACUAUGUGCCCAUCUGUGUGACGUAAGGAAGUCCUCUGUAGCGUCACCUGCUCAUACACCAGUCACAACUGUAGACAGCAUGUGAGCUGCUUGCCAAUGCCACAGAUGGGGUCCUCUGUCUGGGGAUACCCCAGCUUUGCUGCAGUAGUCUGAGUCCCACAGGAGGAAAGUCAUUUGUUGGUGGCCACACAAGACACAGAGCCAGAUGCAGGUCUCCUGGUAGUUUUAGUUUUGAAUGGGGGCAACUUGGUAUCCCAGAGCACUUUCUCUUUGCCAAAUCAAAUAGCUCCUCCGAACACUGCCCACCUGCCCUGGCCAUGGGCUGGGAAGAGGAGAUUUGGGGUGCUCCUUAAGCCCUAGGCUCCUGGGAAAACACUGCCCAUCUGGCUGAGCUGGGAACUCACCAUGGAGUCUGUGGAGGAUCCAAAUGCUGAGGCAGGGUUGAGUCUGGGCAGGAUACGGGGGGCCUCAAGAAGGCCUCUGUGGUGGCCAAGUCUUGCUGCCACCUGGAAGCAUCUCCUUAUCAUGGCCAAGUGCAAGGAUCCAGCCCUGCUUGGAUGGAGGGUCUUGGCUGACUCCCAAGGAGUGCUUUCAGCUGCACUUGGGGCCGCUUCUCUCCCUUCUGUUGCAGGCUUUCUUUCAGAGAGCUAGGCGAGGCUGGGCUGGUGUGCUGCAACACCCACAGAUGCUCGGCGCCUUUAGCUGGUCUAGGAGCCCCACCCAGUGCUUGGGGAGGGACAGAUGCUGCUUGGGCAUGAAAAGGCAGCAGGACUGGCUUGAGUUGCAAAAGGAGUAAACAAGUACAUAAACAAAUAGUAUGGGGUAUAUAGAGCCUUGGAGAGCUGCCUGGGGGUUCUGAGGGAGAAUCCAAGAAUAUUUCCAGAAGGAUAAGGGAAGCCUGUCCCUUGAUUGGAGGGUGCUGGUGGAGUGUUCUUGGUAUGUGCUCUGCAGUGUAUACCGGACUCUGAAAACUCUGGUAUGAUUUUGUGACUCAGAAAACCAACUCACAGGCCGGGUGCGGUGGCUCACGCCUGUAAUCCCAGCACUUUGGGAGGCCGAGGCGGCGGAUUACGAGGUUAGGAGAUCGAGACCAUCCUGGCUAACACGGUGAAACCCCGUCUCUACUAAAAAAAAUACAAAAAAUUAGCCGGGCGUGGUGGCGGGUGCCGGUAGUCCCAGCUACGCAGGGGGCUGAGGCAGGAGAAUGGCGUGAACCUGGGAGGUGGAGCUUGCAGUGAGCUGAGAUCUAGCCACCGCACUCCAGCCUGGGCGACUGAGCGAGACUCCGUCUCAAAAAAAUAAAAAUAAAAAAAUAAAAAAAAAGAAAACCAACUCACAGCCUUAGACACCUCUUUUUUUUUUUUUUUUUUUUUUUUGGUGAGACGGAGUUUCAAUCUUGUCGCCCAGGCUGGUGUGCAAUGGCGUGAUCUCGGCUCACUGCAACCUCCGCCUCCUGGGUUCAAGUGAUUCUCCUGCCUCAGCCUCCUGAGUAGCUGGGAUUACAGACACACACCACCACACCCAGCUAAAUUUUGUAUAUUUUUUUUAGUAGAGAUGGGGUUUUGCCAUGUUAGCCAGGCUGGUCUUGAACUCCUGACCUCAGGUGACCUCCCAAAGUGCUGGGAUUACAGGCGUGAGCCACCGCACCCGGCCAACACCUCUUCUUAUAUCCCGGACAAGGGUUAGCACAGGAGAGUUUCACCUGCUGGUCUCUGGCUGGGGAUAGGAGUUGGAGGUGGGGGAGGGCUUGACAGGGAGGGCAGAAAAUAAUUUGGGAGGAAACAGCUUGGCAGGGAUACUCUCAUGUUUUGGGAACCCCGUGCCCAGGGAGUGGCUCAUGUCAGCAGGCAGUGCUGGGAGUGAGGUGGGCGCGGCAGUGAGGCUUUGUUGAGUGGGAAGGGACACUCAGCCAACAUCUGCAAGGCAGUGGGAUUUGGUGGUGGUGUGUCUUCUAUUGAAUUUAAACUGCCAAUUUUCAAUUAAAAGUCUCAGUUUUAAAUUGACUAAAAUAAAAGCAUGUUCUAAAGAUCAGUCCUCGCGCAGUGGCUCAAGGCUGUAAUCUCAGCAUUUUGGGAGGCCGAGUGAGACCUUGUCUUAAAAAAAAAAAAAUCAGAACUGUGCAAAGGUGGAAUCAUAACAGUGAUGAUGACGAUAAUAAUAGUUGUGAUGAUUAUGACAUUUUGGCAGGUUCCAAAAGAUGAAACUGAUUUAAUGCGGAAAUUUAAAAGAUUUGGUUCACCCUCUGUAUUUGGUUGCCCUAGAAGAAGACUAGAAUAUAAAUAUUUCCCCUCACCUCCUGCAAAGGUUUGAAUUAAACUUCCUCAAGGACUGGGGGAACCAUUUUUUUUUGUUGUUGUUAUUUUGUCAGAGUCUCACUCUUAUUGCCCAGGAGUGCAGUGGCACCAUCUCGGCUCACUGCAACCUCUGCCUCCCAGGCUCAAGCAAUUCUCCUGCCUCAGCCUCCCAAGUAGCUGGGAUUACAGGCGCUUGCUACUACGCCCGGCUAGUUUUUAUAUUUUUAGUAGAGACGGGGUUUCAUCAUGUUGGCCAGGCUGGUCUCAAACUCCUGGCCUUGGCUGAUCUGCCUGCCUCAGCGUCCCAAAGUGCUGGGAUUACAGGCAUGAGGCACCACGCCCAGCUGGAAGUUUUUUUGGUUGAUUCAGCCUCUGGGUCUAAGCAAAGAUAUUUGAGUUGGUUGCCAUCCCCAGAUAAGUGAGAAUAUCUGGCAGCACUCAUUUUCAGCCCUGGGCCGCAGCCGUUGCUGUGAGGCAGAAAUUAAAAAAAGAUAGUAAGUACUACAUUCAUUCACUCCAAGAAAAGUAACAGACAAGGCUAUAAGAAGGUCAUAGUGACCUAGUCUGAGAAGUAAAAGCCAAGGCCCAGAAUGUGGCAAGGCAAAGGUUAAAAAGAAAGGAAGAGCAAGUUUUUCUCUGCCUAGCAAGCUCACUUCAAAGACAAUUAUAAGAUAAUGCUCUUCGAGAAGUCGAAACCAAAGGAAUAGGCUCCAGACAUCCCCCGUCUGGAGCAAGGGUGAAGGAAAAAAAAAAAAGGACAAAUGUCUGUCUGUAUUUAGCCAGUUCUUGUUUUUUCUUUCCACGCAGCUACAAGGCCACCAGCUAUGCAAAGCCACAAGUUAUGCCAAGUCAUCAGUUAUGCUAUAGAUUAUGUGACCUGUCAUUAUAUGAUUAACUGCCUGUUUUGCUUCUGUAAGCCUGCUUAUAAAAAUCCUGCUCAGUCUUUGUUCAAUGCUCAGCUUUUUGGAUGUGAAUCCACUGAGCCAAUGCCUACCUUAAAAUAAACAUCGUCCUGUUUUUCCAUAUCUGUC
rnacentral:lncRNA from 1 species